rnacentral:misc_RNA from 1 species
CAGCAGGAAAACCAGACAUACUGAUACUGCUGCUCAACAAGUUGAUGGAGGAUGGAAAUGUGCUGUAUAAGAAAAACCGUAUUCGAGAGGCAGCCCAGCGAUACCAGUAUGCUUUGAAGAAAUUUCCAAAUGAAAAUGUGGUGGAAGACUCAAGAACCUUCAAAGACCUAAAAUUGAACCUGCUCCUCAAUCUUUCCAGAUGCAAAAGGAAACUUAAUGUAAGUUGCAUAUCUGGACACUCAGAUGGUGUUAAUUUUAAUGUAAUUAAAUGCAAUAAGAUUGUCCUAAUCAGUUAAAUGGAAUCAUUUGACAGAGAAUACUAUAAAAAAAAAACAAUUAACAAAAACUUACAACAAAAAAUCAUUCUGAGAAUAAGAUACACAAAAAAUUAAUGACUACCGGUAUUGUACUCAAAUUCAAAAGUCAUGAAAGAAACAUAUUUAUUAACAAAUUAAAACAUUUUGAAAUUGUUUUCCAGGACUGUGUAUCAGCCAUUGAUCUGGCCACACAGGCACUGCAAAUAAAAAGUAAAUGCUUUGAAGCAUACUAUGCAAGGGCUCGGGCGAAACGAGACGACAGGUUUGUUUAUGAUGCAUCAUGAUCACCCAUUUUUAAUUACGUCAAAAAAUAAUGAAAAGUUUGAAUCAGUUUUAUCUGUACCUGAAUUUUAGUGAAUAUUUAACUUCUAUUGCAGACAAUUCUCUUCAGCUGUUGAGGAUUUAAAAGAGGCUUUAAAGUUAGCUCCUAGCAACCGAGAACUACAAAGAUUGCUGACCAGGGUGCGUGAUGAAUGCACAGAGCAGGCACGCUAUGAGAACCUUCAUGGAAGUCAGUCCAAUGUAAUGGAUCGGGGCGAGAGAAGAGCAGAGGAGACGGCUCUGUAGAAAAAAUACCAGUACCAUAUGGACAAUGGGAUACAAAACCAACUGCUUGUGACGUGAUCAAAUUCAUAGCUUUAAGUCCAUUUUUAGAGUCAUAUUUCAACAUACAUAUUUUUGAGAAAGUGAAAAUGUGAUGCUAUGAUUUAAUUUGUGGUAUUGGGAGAGUGAAAGAAUAUGAUUUUGAUAAAGCACAUUUUGUUGAAAGAUAUGUCUGCAAACCAUGAAGUGGUUGUGGCUGAUUGGUGCUGAGUUUGUUCUGUAAACUUGAUGGACUCCUGUCUUAUUUGUUGUUGAGUGCUUUUGAUUUAAUCCAUGUAUAGAUCAAUUUUUUUUAAAAAUGUGUUUGAAAGAAAUGGCAUCAUUCUGUGUUUAUCAGCAUCAUUCAUUGCAUACCGUACAUCAUAGUGUUUUCAGAGUGUGUUACUCCAGUUACUAUAUACAUGUACUUGUAUCAUGAGUUAUUGGUUGAUUGUACAAAGUUAUUGCCGUUUUGAGUGAGAGAUAGUGGGGAGAAAUGUGACAAAGAGAGACAACUGUUGGCCCCAUUGUCUCAGGAACAAGCAUGGAACAUUCCAGUAGGUGUCCAUUCUCAUGCUACUUUCACUUUCAUUUAGGUCUUGCUAAAUGCAAUUUUCAUAUGUAUAAAAUAUUAUAUUUGAGUAUUUCAGUGUAUAUAGUGUAUAUAAAAAUGCUGUUAUGAAAACAUUGUAGCAUCAAUAAUUUAAAUCUGCAUUUUAUCAUUUCUUUGCCAUGAACAAGUGCAAUUAGCGAAAUGACAACUAAUUGUGUCAUUUUUUUUAUCAAUAAAUAAAUUGAAG